rnacentral:rRNA from 1 species
AGUGAAGCGGCAACAGCUCAGAUUUGAAAUCUAGCCCUUUAGGGUUCGAAUUGUAAUCUGUAGAGGAUGCUUUUGGUGAGAUGCCUUCUGAGUCUCCUGGAACGGAGCGCCAUAGAGGGUGAGAGCCCCGUACGGUUGGACAUCAAACCUUUGUAAAGCACCUUCGACGAGUCGAGUAGUUUGGGAAUGCUGCUCAAAGCGGGAGGUAAAUUUCUUCUAAAGCUAAAUAUUGGCCAGAGACCGAUAGCGCACAAGUAGAGUGAUCGAAAGAUGAAAAGCACUUUGAAAAGAGGGUUAAAAAGCACGUGAAAUUGUUGAAAGGGAAGCGUUUAUGACCAGACUUGUUCUUGGCUGAUCAUCCAGCGUUUUCGCUGGUGCACUCGGUUAGGUUACAGGCCAGCAUCGGUUUUUUUAGAGGCAUAAAGGUUUUAGGAACGUAGCUCUUUCGGGAGUGUUAUAGCCAAUUACACAAUACCUCUGAAGGGACCGAGGCCCGCGCAUUGCAAGGAUGCUGGCGUAAUGGUCAUCAGCGACCCGUCUUGAAACACGGACCAAGGAGUCAAGCAUUAGGGCGAGUGUUUGGGUGAAAAACCCGCACGCGAAAUGAAAGUGAACGCUGGUGAGAGCUUCGGCGCAUCAUCGACCGAUCCUGAAGUUUUCGGAUGGAUUUGAGUAAGAGCCUUAACGCUUGGACCCGAAAGAUGGUGAACUAUGCUUGUAUAGGGUGAAGCCAGAGGAAACUCUGGUGGAGGCUCGCAGCGGUUCUGACGUGCAAAUCGAUCGUCAAAUAUGAGCAUGGGGGCGAAAGACUAAUCGAACCAUCUAGUAGCUGGUUACCGCCGAAGUUUCCCUCAGGAUAGCAGUGUUGUUUUCAGUUUUAUGAGGUAAAGCGAACGAUUAGGGAC